rnacentral:rRNA from 1 species
UACGAACGCUGGCGGCGUGCCUAAUACAUGCAAGUCGAACGCUUUUUCUUUCACCGGAGCUUGCUCCACCGAAAGAAAAAGAGUGGCGAACGGGUGAGUAACACGUGGGUAACCUGCCCAUCAGAAGGGGAUAACACUUGGAAACAGGUGCUAAUACCGUAUAACACUAUUUUCCGCAUGGAAGAAAGUUGAAAGGCGCUUUUGCGUCACUGAUGGAUGGACCCGCGGUGCAUUAGCUAGUUGGUGAGGUAACGGCUCACCAAGGCAACGAUGCAUAGCCGACCUGAGAGGGUGAUCGGCCACACGGGGACUGAGACACGGCCCAGACUCCUACGGGAGGCAGCAGUAGGGAAUCUUCGGCAAUGGACGAAAGUCUGACCGAGCAACGCCGCGUGAGUGAAGAAGGUUUUCGGAUCGUAAAACUCUGUUGUUAGAGAAGAACAAGGAUGAGAGUAGAACGUUCAUCCCUUGACGGUAUCUAACCAGAAAGCCACGGCUAACUACGUGCCAGCCGCCGCAGUAA